CCGGCCUCCAGCUUCUUCUGUCUCUCCUCGUCCUCCAUGGCCUCUGCAAGGAAGGCAGGGGAAAACAGGGGUUGAGGGGUGGUUGGGGAUAGAAAGGAAAGGUCGAUUUGGACGGAGGUGGGACGGCAAGCUCCACGGCCUAGAGAGCCGAUUCGGUCCGGCGCUCCCCCGCCCGAAGUGGAAGCAGUCUCCGCGCUCACUGGCGGAUCGUCCUCAGCCGCACGGGAAGCGCCGUCACCGCCGCCGCCGCCGCCAUCUUCGUCUCCACGUAAACACACGGCGAGGCGGGAGGGGCUGGAACGUCUGUCCGCGCAGCCGCCUCGUGGGCAGGUGCUCCUGGGGUGCCGCCCCGGCCCAGCCCUCCGGGGUCAACCCUUGCCAGGCCUGGGACCUGCCUCCUACCAGCGAGGAUCCCGCCGUAGAGAGCGCCCUUCCCGCACAUCAACGGCUCACAGGUGGCGGCCGAGCUGAGGGGUUACAAAACUAACACACCUAAUGGUGAAAUUGGCGAACACCUACAAGCUCCAACGGAAAAGUUCCGGUGGGGGGUGGUGGGGGGGCGGACGCCAGGUUUUCUACCUACAUUAACUGCUUGACUCAAGAAUUAUGAGAGCAGCUAAUUGCUCUUAUUACUUCCUUAGCCUGAAAAGUCCCUCCCUCUUCCCUCCACUGGUUCCCACUCAAUCUCCGGUUCAUCCUUAUAGUCCCAUCGCACACGCUGCCUCCAAAUGGCUUUUCUGACCUCUUGUUCCCUCCACGGCAACCGAGACACAUCCAGUCAAAACUUAGUCCCCUCCCCCGACUCUUUGGGGCUUCCCUUUAACAGUAGUGUUCUGAAAGGAGCCUGAGCUUUAGAACCUCGGUUAGGGACAAUGCCAGACUACACUAACUUUCUAGCGUUAAUGACAAGUUACCUAUCCUCCCUGAGCCUACCUGGAAUUUUUGGAAGGGUUGUUAAUAUAUGUGACUGCCCUGACAUAUUAAAACGUCCUGAAUAAUGUCAGCUUUAUUUCUCCUUGGACUUCCUUUAAGUACCCUGCACCAUAUUUUAAUAAUUUGUGUGCGUCUUAGUUCAGCUCAUACUCCCAGCUCCUUGAUGACAGAGACUCAUCAUAAGUCUUGCUCAUCUUGGCUUUACUAAAAUGACCAGCACAGAGCUCUG
rnacentral:lncRNA from 1 species